AAGAACUGUUUUACCACCAUGCAACCCAAUCUCAUCAGAUCUUGGAAGCUAAGCAAGGCUGGGCAUAACCCAUACUGGGAAGGGAGACCCCUAAGGAAAACCCGGCAGCUGCUGUGA
rnacentral:rRNA from 1 species